UCUAGCAAAACUCGGCAUUUUUUGAAAAACACAGGAAAAACUCUCGUUUCCAUUUCUCUCCACCAUCGCAUAUCCUUCUCUCACGUAUCCUUUAUCUCACGUCCAUUCACACCACCUGUCGUGGGCGACAUUGGGUCGGGUCCGUUGCUGGGCAAGGUGCAACGGAGGCCAACGAUGUCGACCCAUGUGGUCCGCCACCAUGGGUUGACGUGACGGCGUCGAAAUUUGAAGAAAUCAAACCGGGUUAAUUGGGGAUCGCGAAUGGCGAUUUCUUUGGAAUCGGGAUGCUGCUGAAUCUGAUACAGUGUGGAAGCGUUUCUUCCGCUGGAUUAUUAAGAUAUUAUUGCCAAUUGCAUAAUCGGCUAAAGCUUUGGCUAUGGCUUCUAUACUCCACACUGUCUACUCAAUACGCUCAUCUUCCAACUCGCUUCGAACUCCAAAGCUUGCUGGUCCACCCAUUUCUCUUUCCUUCAGCAGACGGAGGCUUGUGGUGAAAGCUACAGAAACUGAUCAAGAUGAAGGUUAGAUUAAUUUUAUUUUGUUUCCUGUACUUUUUAAUGGGUUUUGAACGUUGCUUACUUGGUUUGAAUCACGAGUUAAUUUAUUUGGAUGAAAGAGAGGAACCAUCGCCUUAAUUGAAAUGGUUAAUUCGGAUUUAUAAAAUGCUGGUUCAACUGUCCUUACAAAUUGUUCCUUCAGACGUGCUUUCACAGAAACUUGUUCCCCUUUUAUCAGUCGAGCUUUGACUUGCUCAUUGACUAAUUCUUUCCCUGUCUUUUGCACAUGCUGAGUGUCUGUUGGAAUGGAUUGGAUUUGCUGGAUGAAUGGUCUUGCUGCAAGCUGCUUUUUGUUUGGUUUAGCCUUGACUGAUUGGCCUUCUUUUGUCAUUCGCAGUUCUAGCUUCCUACUGUUUGAUCCUAUGCUGAGCCGAGGCCUUUAACAUGAUUUAUCAUUGUUGCCCUGUGUCAUUCGCCUUGCCAUGUCAUUGAUGGGAUUCACUUGUGCUUGCCUUGCUUUAAGAAUUAUUCAUAAUUAGUGCACAUGUCUCUAAAAUAUGCUUUUAUUCUUUCAUAUGUAUGUUGAUUCAACUUAUAGAGGUAUGUGGUUCAAAUAACACUUUUUUUUCUUUCUCACUUUCACAAUGAAAGUUUUCGAGUUUUCUAUGUGGUGUUACCAUUUCUAGCCCGUUGAUCUGGCAAUAUGUUGGCUGCUAGAGACUUUAAGGGUUAAGGUUUUUUCGGACUAACAUUUAUCCCGUAUUAAAGGAGAAAUGUGGAAUUGAAAUAAUAGUAACGUGAUUAAUAAAGUUUUCUUUUAUGAGCUUUUGUCUCGUGAAAGCGAACGUCAAAAAGCUUUGUCAAGAUUAGGAAUAAAAUCAAAUUUCAAGAGUCGGCUAUGCUUGCUGAUAUUAGGUUUACUAGCAAGUGUAGAAGGAAAAGGUCCUGAAAAAGUUAUCUAGAAUAGAAAAAAAAAA